rnacentral:lncRNA from 1 species
AGUCUAAUCAGACAGUCCUACCCACUACUCCACUACACCACUACAGUCCAGUCCCCUGCGGGGGAGGGGUGGUGGGGCCCAGGGAUCUUUCAGCAUUUGCUAUGUGGCAGCUGUUACUUUGUUUUCUUCUCUUGGCUUGAAAGGCUGGGAACUCAGAGCCAACUCAGAACAGCAACAACAACAAUACCGAGUUUCCACCUUGUCCCUGUGGACCCAGCACCUGGCCAGUGCUCAAGAGCGCCCUAGCACCAAUGGUUUCAUCACCCUUUAAAAGAACUUCUGGCCGGAUACCAUCUAAAACUGUGGAUUUCUCAUGGAAAGUCUCAGCGAUGACUUUCGUCCCUUGAUCCACUUGAAGUCCUGUCUCUGAGGGGCACAGAAGCCAACCAG